UGAUGUGUUGUCAUGGCAACGGCUGCC
rnacentral:piRNA from 1 species